GAUAACAGAUUGAUUGAUGUUGAUAUGUACUUAUAUGUAAAUAUAUAUAUGGGAUGCUCGCGCGCACGUGUUUUUGUGUGUGUAGGAAUAAUUUAUCGAGGAUCACCCAAUCUGACGUAGACCAAAGUGCUUCGUGGUUUUUACUUGGAGAAGAUUUUAUGAUCGAAAGAGCUGAUCGAUGUUGGAGUUGGAAAAAUAUUAGUUUUCCAACAAAAUGAAAAA
rnacentral:lncRNA from 1 species